rnacentral:misc_RNA from 1 species
CUCUUUCUCUUUCUCUUUCUCUUGAUAUAUUUUGUUGUAGUUUAACUUUUUCUUGUUAAAUGAAACAUUUUCAUGAAAAUGAGUGAAGAUAGUUUCAAACAGCUAAGUAACUUACUCAUUUACUGGAAAUGACUUAAUUGACAACUUAAAUAGGUGAAUGCAGACUAGCUUCUUAAUGAGCUCAUACUUAGUAGGCCGGAUUUUAAUUGUUUUUCUUUUUAUGUAGCAUUGACUGAGAAAAUGGGGCAAACUAUUUCUGUCUGAGAAAAAGUGUGAAUAUUUGCUUUUUAUACAAAUCUAUAGAUUUAUCAAUAGUUUUUGUCAAAGCUAUGGUAUUUUUUUUAAUUUUAUUUUCUCCAUAUUUUGGGAGCUAUGGUAAUUUUCUGGUAGCAUCAAAUUUGAAUUUUUAGUGCCUAUAUGAAGAGAGCUUUGUUAAAUACUAUGAACAAAUCAAAAUCUUGUGAUUUUUUCAGCUUGCCUUUACAAAUUGGCGUGGCACUGUACCUUUUGUAUACACAAGUCAAAUUUGCUUUUCUUUCUGGAUUGGCAAUAACCAUCUUACUGGUACCAGUGAAUAAAUGGAUUUCUGAAUUAAUUGCAAGUGCCACUGAGAAAAUGAUGAAGCAGAAAGAUGAGAGGAUUAGAAGGACAGGAGAAAUUUUGACGCAUAUUCGCACUUUAAAGAUGUAUGGUUGGGAGCAUCUUUUCUCUAGUUGGCUGAUGGACACAAGAUCCUCAGAAGUGAAGCACUUAGCUACACGUAAAUAUUUGGAUGCGUGGUGUGUUUUCUUUUGGGCCACAACACCAACUCUCUUCUCUUUGUUCACUUUUGGACUUUUUACUUUGAUGGGACAUCAGCUUGAGGCUGCUACGGUCUUCACUUGUGUUGCCUUGUUUAAUAAUUUAAUCUCUCCUCUCAAUUCAUUCCCAUGGGUCAUCAAUGGAUUGAUUGAUGCCUUUAUAUCAACCAGGAGGUUGAGCAGGUUUCUUUGCUGUUCAGAGUACAGACAUGAACUUGAACAAAGAGCUGAAUCUCCUUCAGUUUUAAAAAAUUACCAGUCUGACAUUAUCUCUGAAGACAUGGCUGUUAUAAUGCAUGAUGCAUGUUGUGCUUGGUCAAGCAGCGAUGAACAGCAACAGAAUUUGGUGUUAAAUCAUGUGACUUUGUCUGUUCCAAAGGGGUCUUUCAUUGCAAUAAUUGGAGAGGUUGGUUCAGGUAAAUCAUCGUUACUGAGUGCAAUUCUGGGGGAAAUGUGGCUCAUCCAUGGGUCAGUACAUUCAAAUGGAUCUCUAGCAUAUGUACCACAGGUUCCAUGGAUUUUGUCUGGAACAGUACGUGACAAUAUUUUAUUUGGGAAGAGUUAUGAAUCAAAAAGAUAUUCAGAUACUUUGAAGGCUUGUGCACUAGAUGUUGACAUUUCAUUAAUGGCUGGAGGGGACAUGGCUUAUAUUGAAGAAAAAGGAGUCAACUUAUCUGGUGGACAGAGAACUCGUCUUGCUUUGGCAAGGGCUAUUUAUCAGGGAUCAGAUGUAUAUAUGCUUGAUGAUGUCCUCAGUGCAGUUGAUGCAGAAGUUGCAAGGUUGAUUUUACACAAUGCUAUUUUAGGCCCUCUUAUGAAUCAAAAGACUCGUGUUCUUUGUACUCAUAAUGUCCAGGCAAUAUCUUCUGCUGACAUGAUUGUUGUAAUGGACAAAGGACAUGUGAAAUGGGUUGGAAGUUCAGCUGACCUGUCAGUAUCAUCAUUCUCAGCAUUCUCUCCACAGAAUGACUUUGAUAUAUUACCAAAUGUUCAAGGACAAGAGCUCAGCCAAAAUACUUCUAUCGAAGGCAGAAAAAGUUUCAGUUUGGAGGAAGAAUUCAUACACAUUUCAGAGGAAGCACAAGAGAUUGUUGAAGUUGAGCAGAGGAAAGAAGGCAAAGUUGAACUUGCUGUAUACAAGAAUUAUGCAGCAUUUUGUGGCUGGUUCAUCACUGUUGUAAUAUGCCUUUCAGCUAUUUUAAUGCAAGCUUCUCGCAAUGGAAAUGAUUUGUGGCUGUCAUAUUGGGUGGAUGCAACAGGAAGUAGUCAGGCAGACUACUCGACAUCCUUUUAUCUGGUUGUACUCUGCAUCUUUUGUAUUGUAAAUUCGUCUCUAACACUGGUUAGGGCGUUUUCAUUUGCAUUUGGUGGCUUACAUGCUGCAGUUCAGGUGCACAAUACAUUGCUCAAUAAGAUAAUUGAUGCACCUGUGCAGUUCUUUGAUCAAACACCUGCUGGAAGAAUACUUAACAGGUUCUCUUCAGAUCUCUAUACAAUAGACGAUUCUCUUCCUUUCAUUCUCAAUAGUCUCCUUGCCCAUUUUGUUGGCCUGUUGGGGAUAGCAAUAGUCUUGUCGUAUGUACAGGUUGUCUUCUUGCUAUUAUUAUUGCCAUUUUGGUUUAUUUACAGCAAGCUGCAGUUCUUCUACAGAUCAACAUCAAGGGAACUGCGAAGGCUGGACAGUGUUUCUCGUUCUCCUAUUUAUGCAACCUUUACAGAGACACUUGAUGGAUCAUCUACUAUAAGGGCAUUUAAGUCCGAGGACUGUUUCUUGGUCAAAUUUAUAGAGCUUGUGGCCUUAUAUCAACGAACUUCUUACUCGGAGAUCAUAGCAAGUUUGUGGCUUUCCCUGCGUCUCCAGUUGUUGGCAGCGUUUAUCAUCUCAUUUGUUGCUAUGAUGGCCGUUGUUGGAUCCCGUGGCUAUUUGCCAAUUAGUUUUGGUACACCUGGGCUGGUAGGUUUGGCUCUCUCAUAUGCAACUCCAAUAGUGUCAUCGUUAGGAAGUUUUUUGACAAGUUUUACUGAAACAGAGAAGGAAAUGGUUUCUGUUGAGAGGGCUCUUCAGUAUAUGGACAUUCCCCAAGAAGAGCUCAGAGGAUCCCAAUCUCUGAAUCUUGAUUGGCCAUUUCAAGGAUUGAUUGAGUUUCAGAAUGUUACAAUGAGAUACAUGCCAUCCUUGCCGCCUGCACUAAAUGGUGUCACUUUUACCAUUCUGGGAGGGACACAGGUUGGGAUCGUUGGAAGAACAGGUGCUGGAAAAUCCAGUGUCUUGAAUGCUCUUUUCCGCCUCACUCCAAUAUGUAGUGGAUGUAUUUUGGUUGAUGACCUUAACAUAACUCACGUUCCUGUUAGAGAUCUCCGUGCACACUUUUCUGUUGUUCCCCAGAGUCCGUUCCUAUUUGAAGGAUCAUUAAGGGAUAACCUAGAUCCACUCCGGAUGAGCAAUGACCUGGAAAUCUGGAAUAUUCUGGAGAAAUGUCAUGUCAAGGAGGAAGUAGAAAUGGCUGGCGGACUGGAUAUUCAUGUAAAGCAAUCUGGAUCUUCAUUUUCUGUUGGGCAAAGGCAGCUUCUAUGCCUUGCACGUGCUCUUCUCAAGUCUUCUAAGGUACUUUGUUUGGACGAAUGUACAGCUAACGUGGACACUCAAACAGCUUCAGUACUACAGAAUGCAAUAUCUACUGAAUGCAAAGGCAUGACGGUGAUCACAAUUGCUCAUCGAAUUUCCACUGUUAUGAAUAUGGACAACAUCCUUGUUCUUGACCAUGGGAAUGUGAUUGAGCAAGGGAACCCACAAACUCUUCUACAAGAUGAAUUCUCCAGAUUUUCAAGAUUAGCUAAAGCUUCUACCAUGUAAUUGCCCAACUACUUGCAUAGGUCAUUUAGGACAUAUUAGAAUUCAACACGUUUCAGGAUGCGAGGCUCUUUGUUAAUUGUCAAUUAUCUUAUCCCAAGUUAUCAAAGCCAGUUAUCAUUCUAAACAUGGCCAGCUAGCUAGCCAUCCACAGAUAAUGAUGCAUAGUAUUAUCAUUGUACAUUUGGGCAUGUUAACUUGGGGAAUCAGGACCUGUAGCUGGUUGAAUUUUUAUGAUUUUUUUUUUCCGUUGGUGG